rnacentral:rRNA from 1 species
CCUACGGGGGGUAGCAGUGGGGGAUAUUGCACAAUGGGGGAAACCCUGAUGCAGCGACGCCGCGUGUGGGAAGACGGUCUUCUGGAUUGUAAACCACUGUCCCCAGGGACGAAAAUGACGGUACCUGGGGAGGAAGCUCCGGCUAACUACGUGCCAGCAGCCGCGGUAAUACGUAGGGAGCAAGCGUUGUCCGGAUUUACUGGGUGUAAAGGGAGCGUAGGCGGGGAUGCAAGUUGGGUGUCAAAACUACCGGCUAAACCGAUAGUCGCACUCAAAACUGCAGCUCUUGAGUGAAGUAGAGGCAGGCGGAAUUCCUAGUGUAGCGGUGAAAUGCGUAGAUAUGAGGAGGAACACCAGUGGCGAAGGCGGCCUGCUGGGCUUUUACUGACGCUGAGGCUCGAAAGUGUGGGGAGCAAACAGGAUUAGAUACCCGGGUAGUC